rnacentral:rRNA from 1 species
UACGGAGGGUGCAAGCGUUAUCCGGAUUCACUGGGUUUAAAGGGUGCGUAGGUGGGUUUGUAAGUCAGUGGUGAAAUCUCCAAGCUUAACUUGGAACUGCCGUUGAUACUAUAAAUCUUGAAUGUUGUGGAGGUGAGCGGAAUAUGUCAUGUAGCGGUGAAAUGCUUAGAUAUGAACAUAGUAACACCAAUUGCGAAGGCAGCUCAC